GAUGAACGCUGGCGGCGUGCCUAAUACAUGCAAGUCGAGCGAACGGACGAGAAGCUUGCUUCUCUGAUGUUAGCGGCGGACGGGUGAGUAACACGUGGAUAACCUACCUAUAAGACUGGGAUAACUUCGGGAAACCGGAGCUAAUACCGGAUAAUAUUUUGAACCGCAUGGUUCAAAAGUGAAAGACGGUCUUGCUGUCACUUAUAGAUGGAUCCGCGCUGCAUUAGCUAGUUGGUAAGGUAACGGCUUACCAAGGCAACGAUGCAUAGCCGACCUGAGAGGGUGAUCGGCCACACUGGAACUGAGACACGGUCCAGACUCCUACGGGAGGCAGCAGUAGGGAAUCUUCCGCAAUGGGCAAAAGCCUGACGGAGCAACGCCGCGUGAGUGAUGAAGGUCUUCGGAUCGUAAAACUCUGUUAUUAGGGAAGAACAUAUGUGUAAGUAACUGUGCACAUCUUGACGGUACCUAAUCAGAAAGCCACGGCUAACUACGUGCCAGCAGCCGCGGUAAUACGUAGGUGGCAAGCGUUAUCCGGAAUUAUUGGGCGUAAAGCGCGCGUAGGCGGUUUUUUAAGUCUGAUGUGAAAGCCCACGGCUCAACCGUGGAGGGUCAUUGGAAACUGGAAAACUUGAGUGCAGAAGAGGAAAGUGGAAUUCCACGUGUAGCGGUGAAAUGCGCAGAGAUAUGGAGGAACACCAGUGGCGAAGGCGACUUUCUGGUCUGUAACUGACGCUGAUGUGCGAAAGCGUGGGGAUCAAACAGGAUUAGAUACCCUGGUAGUCCACGCCGUAAACGAUGAGUGCUAAGUGUUAGGGGGUUUCCGCCCCUUAGUGCUGCAGCUAACGCAUUAAGCACUCCGCCUGGGGAGUACGACCGCAAGGUUGAAACUCAAAGGAAUUGACGGGGACCCGCACAAGCGGUGGAGCAUGUGGUUUAAUUCGAAGCAACGCGAAGAACCUUACCAAAUCCUGACAUCCUUUGACAACUCUAGAGAUAGAGCCUUCCCCUUCGGGGGACAAAGUGACAGGUGGUGCAUGGUUGUCGUCAGCUCGUGUCGUGAGAUGUUGGGUUAAGUCCCGCAACGAGCGCAACCCUUAAGCUUAGUUGCCAUCAUUAAGUUGGGCACUCUAAGUUGACUGCCGGUGACAAACCGGAGGAAGGUGGGGAUGACGUCAAAUCAUCAUGCCCCUUAUGAUUUGGGCUACACACGUGCUACAAUGGACAAUACAAAGGGCAGCGAAACCGCGAGGUCAAGCAAAUCCCAUAAAGUUGUUCUCAGUUCGGAUUGUAGUCUGCAACUCGACUACAUGAAGCUGGAAUCGCUAGUAAUCGUAGAUCAGCAUGCUACGGUGAAUACGUUCCCGGGUCU
rnacentral:rRNA from 1 species